CCGCUGCUCCGCGACAGUGUAUUUUCCUCCCUCUCCUCCCCCACCGGCUCUGGCAGCCCUGAGCAGAGCCACAGCUCCCCCCUGUGGCCUCCCGGGGGAUGGCUUCCAGGCCACCGUGGAGACUCCUACCUCCUCCGCCUCCUGCUCCUGAUUCCAACCUGCUGCAGUUCUGUCCGACCACAUCUCAAGACUGGGAUGCAGGCCGGACUUCAAGGGGAGCCUUGCAGGAAAAGAAAGAAAAAAAAGAAUACCACUGGGGCCUUUCUAAAUCUCCAAAGCUGGCAGUGGAAAGGGUUAAGGGUUUUCCCUCCGAAGACAAAAUGACCACCCACCGAAACAAGAGGCUCCGCUGAGUUGUGCGUGGAUCUCUUGAAACCUCAGCUGAGCCAAGGGGAGCCACACUCGGCAGUGCUGAGAGCACAGCCCGAAUGGCAUUCUGAGCCGAAAACGGCUGUCGCAGGGAUGACUCCGACUUCCAGGAGGACUGGGCACUCGGCUUCGGCUUCCCUCUGCGUCACUCUGGCUACAGUUUUCAAGUAGCAGGAAUCCGAGAUUCUCUGUGUGGUCAUCGCAGUUAAAAGUUUAUGUUAAUUUAAGGUCAUAUGUAGUUGUCAACACUUCAUAAUGAGGGACAAACCACGUGCAGGUCCUUUAGUAUUUACUGUAAUAAUAUUAUUCAUAAUGGAGUCAUUCGGUAUUCAUGUGGAUAUAAUAUGUAAUUCCAUUGUAAUUUAGCAUUAAUUAAUGUCCACUUAUUGCACCAUAUUAGAGUAUAGGAAACAAUUUCUGAUAAGAGACACCAGUGUAAUUUAAGGGUGAAUCUGAUUGUCAUUUGAAUAAUGAUAUA